rnacentral:lncRNA from 1 species
CUUUCUAGAACUCAUAGGGAGAGAGGGUUGAAGGUGGGAGCUCAUAGCCAAAAGAAACACAACUAGCACUCAAUUCAACAUCUAAUCCAACAUGAGCACACUCUCUUAUUACACUCUAGCUUCUCUAGGCCUAUCUCAACUCCUUUUUGCCCUUACACUCAUCAUCAAGCAUCCACACAUUCAAAUCAACCAACUCUCACAUUCAUUAAGCAUAAAACAUUAGGUGAAUUCUUGCAAAUGGUCAAUUUGUCCAAAUCAUUUGGUUUGGUAAGAGAAGACUUUUUAUUCAAGUGAGUCAAGAGGUUCAAGAUAUAUGAUCUUUAAGGUGGU